UACGGAGGGGGCUAGCGUUGUUCGGAAUUACUGGGCGUAAAGCGCACGUAGGCGGCUUUGUAAGUUAGAGGUGAAAGCCCAGAGCUCAACUCUGGAACUGCCUUUAAGACUGCAUCGCUUGAAUCAUGGAGAGGUUAGUGGAAUUCCGAGUGUAGAGGUGAAAUUCGUAGAUAUUGGGAAGAACACCGGUGGCGAAGGCGGCUCUCUGGACCGAGACUGACGCUGAGGAGCGAAAGCGUGGGGAGCGAACAGG
rnacentral:rRNA from 1 species